GAAAAUUGGUGAUUUAUAAUAACUUAGCAAAUCGCAAAGUGAAAACAGGCGAUAAAUCAUUCAAGUUUCUGACCUAUCAGCUUUCGACGGUAUGGUAUUGGCUUACCGUGGCAGUGACGGUUAACGGGGGAUUAGGGUUCGAUUCCGGAGAGGGAGCCUGAGAAACGGCUACCACAUCUAAGGAAGGCAGCAGGCGCGCAAAUUACCCAAUUCUAACAGUUUGAGAGAGGUAGUAACAAGAAAUAACAAUACAAGGCAGUUAAAAUGCUUUGUAAUUGGAAUGAUAGAAAUUUAAACCCUUUUUAAAGUAUCAAUUGGAGGGCAAGUCUGGUGCCAGCAGCCGCGGUAAUUCCAGCUCCAAUAGCGUAUAUUAAAAUUGUUGCAGUUAAAAAGCUCGUAGUUGAAGUUCUGCUGAAAGUAACCGGUCUGCUUUUAAUAAAAGUGGUAUCUUGGUAUGUAUUUAGCAAUGAUGUCCUUUGAAGUG
rnacentral:rRNA from 1 species